rnacentral:lncRNA from 1 species
GGUGCCAUUAUCUUUGCAGUAUAGUGUCACGAUAUCUGAUAGUAUGACAUCUAAUUCUGCAGCUAACAUUACAACCAAAAUGUAUCCUACACAUCUACAUUGUACUCAGCAUCCAUUGAUCGAUUAUUUGAAAUCCUUCCAAAAUAUCGACAUAGGAACACAUCCAUGAUGUAGACAUUCUACCAUCAACAUCAGACAUAAAGUCUGAAUUAGUGUAUCCUCCUACUCUUAGCUUUGAUUCUUCUCCGAACAUGUCCUCAGUUCUUCUUAAGAGCUUAAGGAUGUUUUCACAGCAAUCCAGCACUUACAGCCUGGAUACAACUGAUAUCUACUUGUGUCAAUCACUGUAUAAUCAGUUCAAGUACUUUAUGGCAUAUGACUAUGCCUGAGAGGGUAGCAGAUCCCUCUCCAAGAUUUCUAUGCUGAACACUUUCAGCAUCCGAUCUCUGUAUUUUAUCUGUGAAAACACAAGCAUCCAAUUACAUCUAUCUCUAUAGAUCUUUAGGACGCUCACUUUAUAUGUUUCAUGAAGAAAUCUAUAUUCAACUAUAUUUUAACCGAUGUCAGUAUUGGACACUCCCACUGACCCU